GGAGGGGCUGUAACUCAGUGGGAGAGCACCUGCUUGGCAUGCAGAAGGACCCAGGACCAAUCCCCAGGCUCUCCA